CGUAGGGUGCGAGCGUUAAUCGGAAUUACUGGGCGUAAAGCGUGCGCAGGCGGUGAUGUAAGACAGUUGUGAAAUCCCCGGGCUCAACCUGGGAAUUGCAUCUGUGACUGCAUCGCUAGAGUACGGUAGAGGGGGAUGGAAUUCCGCGUGUAGCAGUGAAAUGCGUAGAUAUGCGGAGGAACACCGAUGGCGAAGGCAAUCCCCUGGACCUGUACUGACGCUCAUGCACGAAAGCGUGGGGAGCAAACAGGA
rnacentral:rRNA from 1 species